rnacentral:rRNA from 1 species
UACGUAGGGAGCAAGCGUUGUUCGGAUUUACUGGGCGUAAAGGGCGCGUAGGCGGCGUGUCAAGUCGAUUGUGAAAUCUCCGGGCUUAACUCGGAACGGCCAAUCGAUACUGACGUGCUAGAGUGCAGAAAGGGCAAUCGGAAUUCUCGGUGUAGCAGUGAAAUGCGUGGAUAUCGAGAAGAACACUUAGGGCGUAGGCAAGACUCUGGACAAAUGCUGACGCUCAGGCACGAAGGCUAGGGUAGCGAACGGG